rnacentral:rRNA from 1 species
GACGAACGCUGGUGGCGUGCCUAAUACAUGCAAGUCGAGCGGACCAAUAGAAGCUUGCUUCUGUUGGUUAGCGGCGGACGGGUGAGUAACACGUGGGUCACCUGCCUGUAAGACUGGGAUAACUUCGGGAAACCGGAGCUAAUACCGGAUAAUUCAUCCCCUCGCAUGAGGGGAUGCUGAAAGUCGGUUUACGCUGACACUUACAGAUGGGCCCGCGGCGCAUUAGCUAGUUGGUGAGGUAAUGGCUCACCAAGGCGACGAGGCGUCGCCGACCUGAGAGGGUGAUCGGCCACACUGGGACUGAGACACGGCCCAGACUCCUACGGUAGGCAGCAGUAGGGAAUCUUCCACAAUGGACGAAAGUCUGAUGGAGCAACGCCGCGUGAGCGAUGAAGGCCUUCGGGUCGCAAAGCUCUGUUGUUAGGGAAGAAUAAGUAUCGGAGUAACUGCCGGUACCUUGACGGUACCUAACCAGAAAGCCACGGCUAACUACGUGCCAGCCGCCGCGGUAA